rnacentral:RNase_P_RNA from 1 species
ACGUUCGGGUAAUCGCUGCAAUGCAAAUUGUAGAGGAAAGUCCAUGCUCGCACAAGCUGCGAUGCUUGUAGUGUUCGUGCCUAGCGAAGUCAUAAGCUAGGGCAGCUUGUCAUGAGCUGACGGCAGGGAAAAUGCCUAAGUCUUUUUAAGAUAUGGCAUGAAUACUUUGAAAGUGCCACAGUGACGUAGCCUGUUCAGAAAUGAACAGGGUGGAACGAGGUAAACCCCACGAGCGAGAAACCCAAAUUAUGGUAGGGGCACUUUCUCACUUGGAACUGAACAAGGAGAAGGACAGAUUGUUUCAAUCUGUAGAUAGAUGAUUACCACCGGAGUACAAGACGUAAGUCGUUUGCAGUACGAUGGUACAAAACAUGGCUUACAGAA